rnacentral:rRNA from 1 species
AAUUCCGAUAACGAAACGAGACCUUAAACCUGCUAAAUAAGUCAGGCCGGCUUUCGCUGGUGCCGACUUCUUAGAGGGACUGUCAGCGUCUAGCUGACGGAAGGUUUGAGGCAAUAACAGGUCUGUGAUGCCCUUAGAUGUUCUGGGCCGCACGCGCGCUACACUGACAGAGCCAGCGAGUUUUUUUCCUUGGCCGGAAGGCCUGGGUAAUCUUGUGAAACUCUGUCGUGCUGGGGAUAGGGCAUUGCAAUG